rnacentral:rRNA from 1 species
UACAGAGGGUGCAAGCGUUAAUCGGAAUUACUGGGCGUAAAGCGCGCGUAGGCGGCUUGACAAGUCGAGUGUGAAAUCCCCGGGCUUAACCUGGGAGCUGCAUUCGAAACUGUCUUGCUAGAGUAUGGGAGAGGGAAGUGGAAUUUCAGGUGUAGCGGUGAAAUGCGUAGAUAUCUGAAGGAACAUCAGUGGCGAAAGCGACUUCCUGGACCAAUACUGACGCUCAUGUGCGAAAGCGUGGGGAGCAAACAGGG